rnacentral:lncRNA from 1 species
UGAUUAGGAUUUUGAGAUUCAUCUUUUCAAAUAACUAUGCGAACUAAAACUUUUGUUGUUUCCUGGUCUUAUCGACGAGCAAAGUUGAUUUUGAUUUCCUGCUUCGCGAGUUGCUCUAAGAAUGUCUCUGUGCAUCUCACUGGUAGGUAUCAUUCAAGAAUUGAGAAUUUCAGUGAGUUGAGGAGAAGCUUGAAUAUUGAAUGGAGACGGCAGUGGUUUUCAGACACUGUGC